ensembl:snRNA U2 U2 spliceosomal RNA
AUCUCUUCUUGGCCUUUUGGCUAAGAUCAUGUGUAGUAUCUGUUCUUAUCAGUUUAAUAAAAAAUAAAAUAGCCAGAUAGAGAAGAUGAGUACAUACAUUAAAUUUAGUUUGGUUCAAUAAAAAAAGUCCUUUUGUUUAAGUGGUUUUUGUAUGGAUUUACAAUUUUCUACACGAUAUCCCACUCCCA